rnacentral:rRNA from 1 species
AACGCGAAGAACCUUACCUGGGCUUGACAUGUUCCUGACAGCCGUGGAAACACGGUCUCCCUUCGGGGCAGGAUCACAGGUGGUGCAUGGCUGUCGUCAGCUCGUGUCGUGAGAUGUUGGGUUAAGUCCCGCAACGAGCGCAACCCCCGUCGCAUGUUGCCAGCAUUCAGUUGGGGACUCAUGCGAGACCGCCGGUGACAAACCGGAGGAAGGUGGGGAUGACGUCAAGUCAUCAUGCCCCUCAUGUCCAGGGCUACACACGUGCUACAUUGGCGCGUACAGAGGGCUGCAAGACCGUGAGGUGGAGCGAAUCCCUCAAAGCGCGUCUCGGUUCGGAUUGCAGGCUGAAACUCGCCUGCAUGAAGGCGGAGUUGCUAGUAAUCGCGGAUCAGCAUUGCCGCGGUGAAUACGUUCCCGGGCCUUGUACACACCG